rnacentral:rRNA from 1 species
UACGGAGGGUGCAAGCGUUGUCCGGAUUUAUUGGGUUUAAAGGGUGCGUAGGCGGCUUUUUAAGUCAGUGGUGAAAGACAACAGCUCAACUGUUGCAGUGCCAUUGAUACUGAAGAGCUUGAGUACAGAUGAGGUAGGCGGAAUUUAUGGUGUAGCGGUGAAAUGCAUAGAUACCAUAAAGAACACCUAUUGCGAAGGCAGCUUACUAAGCUGUAACUGACGCUGAGGCACGAAAGUGUGGGGGAUCAAACAGG